GACGAACGCUGGCGGCGUGCCUAAUACAUGCAAGUCGAACGCUUCUUUCCUCCCGAGUGCUUGCCCUCAAUUGGAAAGAGGAGUGGCGGACGGGUGAGUAACACGUGGGUAACCUACCCAUCAGAGGGGGAUAACACUUGGAAACAGGUGCUAAUACCGCAUAACAGUUUAUGCCGCAUGGCAUAAGAGUGAAAGGCGCUUUCGGGUGUCGCUGAUGGAUGGGCCCGCGGUGCAUUAGCUAGUUGGUGAGGUAACGGCUCACCAAGGCCACGAUGCAUAGCCGACCUGAGAGGGUGAUCGGCCACACUGGGACUGAGACACGGCCCAGACUCCUACGGGAGGCAGCAGUAGGGAAUCUUCGGCAAUGGACGAAAGUCUGACCGAGCAACGCCGCGUGAGUGAAGAAGGUGUUCGGAUCGUAAAACUCUGUUGUUAGAGAAGAACAAGGACGUUAGUAACUGAACGUCCCCUGACGGUAUCUAACCAGAAAGCCACGGCUAACUACGUG
rnacentral:rRNA from 1 species